rnacentral:rRNA from 1 species
CCUACGGGAGGCUGCAGUGGGGAAUAUUGCACAAUGGGCGCAAGCCUGAUGCAGCCAUGCCGCGUGUGUGAAGAAGACCUUCGGGUUGUAAAGCACUUUCAGCGGGGAGGAAGGCGUUAAGGUUAAUAACCUUGGCGAUUGACGUUACCCGCAGAAGAAGCACCGGCUAACUCCGUGCCAGCAGCCGCGGUAAUACGGAGGGUGCAAGCGUUAAUCGGAAUUACUGGGCGUAAAGCGCACGCAGGCGGUCUGUCAAGUCGGAUGUGAAAUCCCCGGGCUCAACCUGGGAACUGCAUUCGAAACUGGCAGGCUAGAGUCUUGUAGAGGGGGGUAGAAUUCCAGGUGUAGCGGUGAAAUGCGUAGAGAUCUGGAGGAAUACCGGUGGCGAAGGCGGCCCCCUGGACAAAGACUGACGCUCAGGUGCGAAAGCGUGGGGAGCAAACAGGAUUAGAUACCCUAGUAGUC